rnacentral:rRNA from 1 species
AUUGAACGCUGGCGGCAGGCCUAACACAUGCAAGUCGAGCGGUAGAGAGGUGCUUGCACCUCUUGAGAGCGGCGGACGGGUGAGUAAUGCCUAGGAAUCUGCCUGGUAGUGGGGGAUAACGUCCGGAAACGGACGCUAACACCGCAUACGUCCUACGGGAGAAAGCAGGGGACCUUCGGGCCUUGCGCUAUCAGAUGAGCCUAGGUCGGAUUAGCUAGUAGGUGAGGUAAUGGCUCACCUAGGCGACGAUCCGUAACUGGUCUGAGAGGAUGAUCAGUCACACUGGAACUGAGACACGGUCCAGACUCCUACGGGAGGCAGCAGUGGGGAAUAUUGGACAAUGGGCGAAAGCCUGAUCCAGCCAUGCCGCGUGUGUGAAGAAGGUCUUCGGAUUGUAAAGCACUUUAAGUUGGGAGGAAGGGCAGUAAGUUAAUACCUUGCUGUUUUGACGUUACCAACAGAAUAAGCACCGGCUAACUUCGUGCCAGCCGCCGCGGUAGCAC